rnacentral:snRNA from 1 species
GUGUUCGCUUCGGCAGCACAUGCACUAAAAUUGGAACGAUACAGAGAAGAUUAGCAUGG